UGGGAACUCCANCAUGGACGCUAAGUCUGAUGGAGCAACGCCGCGUGAGUGAAGAAGGGUUUCGGCUCGUAAAGCUCUGUUGUUAAAGAAGAACGUGGGUAAGCAGUAACUGUUUACCCAGUGACGGAUAUUUAACCAGAAAGCCUGCGGCUAAAUACGUGACUGCUGCCUCCCGU
rnacentral:rRNA from 1 species